rnacentral:rRNA from 1 species
UACGUAGGGGGCGAGCGUUAUCCGGAUUCACUGGGCGUAAAGGGCGUGUAGGCGGUUCCGCAAGUCGGAUGUGAAAGCUCGGGGCUCAACCCCGGAAGUGCAUCCGAUACUGCGGUGACUUGAGGGCGGUAGAGGCAGAUGGAACUUGUGGUGUAGCGGUGGAAUGCGCAGAUAUCACAAGGAACGCCGGUGGCGAAGGCGAUCUGCUGGGCCGUCCCUGACGCUGAGGCGCGAAAGCGUGGGGAGCGAACCGG